AUGCCUAAGUGGGAUAAGUCUGAGCAAGAGAUGCAGGCUGCACAGGUCACUCCAGGUCCAUGGAAAGAAAAGUUGUAUUAUUUUCGACCCAAGGCCCUGAAGCAGGCGCCGAGGACUGAAGUUUGUGCAUACUACGUUUACGAGAACAUUCGCAUGAUGGCAUCCGAAAGAACCAAAUCUGAUAGACAACUAUGGUUCAAUGUGGUGCGGGAGACGCUCCUACCAAAGGAGCGCAUACGAGCACUUCAAGAGGAAAUAGCGGGAUUUUUGCUCGACCAGGUCAUAGAUCCCAAAGGAGAAUACUAUUACCCGCUACCGCCCCUAUGA
rnacentral:rRNA from 1 species